rnacentral:rRNA from 1 species
GACGAACGCUGGCGGCGUGCCUAAUACAUGCAAGUAGAACGCUGAAGGAGGAGCUUGCUUCUCUGGAUGAGUUGCGAACGGGUGAGUAACGCGUAGGUAACCUGCCUGGUAGCGGGGGAUAACUAUUGGAAACGAUAGCUAAUACCGCAUAAUAGUAGAUGUUGCAUGACAUUUGCUUAAAAGGUGCAAUUGCAUCACUACCAGAUGGACCUGCGUUGUAUUAGCUAGUUGGUGGGGUAACGGCUCACCAAGGCGACGAUACAUAGCCGACCUGAGAGGGUGAUCGGCCACACUGGGCCUGAGACACGGCCCAGACUCCUACGGGAGGCAGCAGUAGGGAAUCUUCGGCAAUGGAAGGAAGUCUGACCGAGCAACGCCGCGUGAGUGAAGAAGGUUUUCGGAUCGUAAAGCUCUGUUGUAAGAGAAGAACGAGUGUGAGAGUGGAAGGUUCACAAUGUGACGGUAUCUUACCAGAAAGGGACGGCUAACUACGUG